rnacentral:lncRNA from 1 species
CAAAACAUAUUAUGAAACAGAAUGACUGUGAUCUUUGAUCCGAGAAAUCAAAGUUAAAGUCAAUGAGAUCAUCAGGAAGGAGUUUUCAGGACCUCCCGUCCGAAAUCAAACGUAGAAGUCAUUCCUACGACACCGUCCACAUUGCUGACCCGGAGCCUCCCAGGCCCCCUCGCCCUCCACCCUAGCAUCCACCCUGCCCCGGGGCUGCGGGCAGGGCCAAGUGCCCGCUGAAAGCUGACCUUCAUUCCCGAGCUCGCCGCCUCUCUCUCUGCAUCCCGGGUCUUGCUCUGAAUCCCAAAGAGCAUCUCCGUUGACUUUGACGGUGUCCCAUCCAAGCCUUAAGUGCCUGCUGACCCCAGAUACAUUCUGAUCAAGACCGCCCGCUGGAACAGAAGAUGGGGGCGUGGCAACUGAACCCCAGCCUUCGCCUUCACUUUCUCGGGUCACCAAUAUGACUCUUGUACCUUUUGAAGGAAAGGAGGUUCUCCCACAGAGCAACCAAAGGAACGUGGCCUAGCUGACAGGCUGGAGAGAAAUAGAGAACUCGGCCCAUGCUCACCUAGCAGUCACAUGGGCCUCACCGUGGAUGGGCCACAGCUCAAGCUUGGUUUUUAGAUUUUCUGCUUCUGAAGCAAAAAAAAAAACAAACCCAAUCUGGUUUAUACAAGCUCACCUGUUAAAACUUCUUGGCCUUAAGUUAUGACAUGUGUCUGUUUCCCCCCAACUUUCUCUGCUUUCAAAAAGCUGGCUGGAGGGGGGCCUUCUCGGCCAGCUGCCUUCCCCCGCUGCACGGGACUGGUGGGCGUCACCCCAGCUGCAGGGUGAGCACCGUCCACUGCGGCCGGACAAGCUUCACAACUCUCUGCUCUUCCCACUUACUUUUCUCCAACAGCCCAAGUGAUUUUCCAUAAUGUAGUUAAGAAGAAUCUCAAGCAUGUGCAUUGAAUUUUGAGAAGGAAUGGCAGAAGGGCUGAAGCAAUCCACUCCCCCCUAAAAAAUAGCCAUGCAGGUAUCUUUGUUAAGUGAAGUGUGGUCAUUGGCGGGUCCAAGUGUUUCAGUGGGUGGGUUCCUCCAGGAAGAAGGCCGAAUCCCCUGUCCGGCCUAGACUCAAAGUGGGACACGAGCUCAGGAUUUGGCUCCAGAGUUCGAUGGUUACCUUUGCCUGGACCCACUGAAACCCGCCCCCUCCCUCACCCCCAAAGACCCAUCUACAUUAGCUGCUUCAUCCAGCAAGAAAGUGACCUAAAUAGAAGCAAACCCACUCCCUGCACAGCCCUCAAUUUGA